CUGGCUGCCGUCAGAAGACUCAUCCUCCUGUAGAUGCUCCUGACACUAACUCUGAGGUGGUCUUUGCUCCAGAGGCUAUUGAGUUACAAGAACUCCAGCAUUCAUUGUGUGAUGCCACAGGAGAUGAGAUGGAAGCACCAUCUCCAAGAGCUCCUCUGGCUUCAUCAAACUGGAGCACCAGCAAAAAUAUAUUUUCAGAAAGCUGGAGGGCAGCAAGACCACAGUGGCACUAGAAAAUGUAGAAGGCCACAUCUGCCAACAGUGUUCGAGCAAUUCCGCUGUUGUUCGUUGCUGUGAUUGCCGUCCACGCCGCUUCUUCUGUGCCAAAUGUGAUGUCAGCAUGCACACCAGACACCCCCUCCACAACAGAGAUGGCAGUACUUCGGGAUUCUUCCAGCCAUUACCCCCAACAACUUAUGUCCUGAAUAAGGCCCUUUCCCCCUGUGUGCGUUAUGUACCUGUGGAGAUCCCUGAAAAAAUAUGUGGUUGUCCAACAGACUCAUUGAGGAUCAAACCAGGAAAGGCUGUGGCUGUGAUCACAGUGAAUGGACGACAUGAGCUCAGCAUGCCAGAGUUGGCUUGCAGUGCAUGCAAAGCCACGUGGACUGCUGAAGUUGAGGAUGUUCUAAAGAGUUACUACUGGCCAGCUACCCUUCACUUUGCCACAAUCUAUGCCACAGAUGUUUUCUUCUCAUUUGAAGAAAUUAAAAUGGCUGCACCUGGACUGUCCUGUCAGGCAUUUUUAAAAAUGCUCGAUCAGCGAGCUGUCCGCUUUGGCCGUACUGGGAAAAUCUCCGGCGAUAGCUUCAUCAAAAGCUUCUUCGAGUGGGAGGCUGUGAGAUAUGAGGUGGACAGCCUCCGCAAGGCCUGUUGA
rnacentral:lncRNA from 15 species